rnacentral:rRNA from 1 species
AUUGAACGCUGGCGGCAUGCCUUACACAUGCAAGUCGAACGGUAACAGGUCUUCGGAUGCUGACGAGUGGCGAACGGGUGAGUAAUACAUCGGAACGUGCCUAGUAGUGGGGGAUAACUACUCGAAAGAGUGGCUAAUACCGCAUGAGAUCUACGGAUGAAAGCAGGGGAUCGCAAGACCUUGUGCUACUAGAGCGGUCGAUGGCAGAUUAGGUAGUUGGUGGGAUAAAAGCUUACCAAGCCGACGAUCUGCAGCUGGUCUGAGAGGACGAUCAGCCACACUGGGACUGAGACACGGCCCAGACUCCUACGGGAGGCAGCAGUGGGGAAUUUUGGACAAUGGGCGAAAGCCUGAUCCAGCAAUGCCGCGUGCAGGAUGAAGGCCUUCGGGUUGUAAACUGCUUUUGUACGGAACGAAAAGCCCCGGGUUAAUACCCUGGGGUCAUGACGGUACCGUAAGAAUAAGCACCGGCUAACUACGUGCCAGCCGCCGCGGUAA